rnacentral:tRNA from 1 species
UGGGGGAUGGAGCUCAUUGGUAGAGCACCUGCCUAGCAUGCAGGAGGCCCUGGGUUCCAUCCCAGAACCACAA